AUUCUAAUUUUUUUACUCUGUUAUAUAUUUGUACUCUUUCAAAAUGUUUUGGUUGUAUAUGUUUUUAUUUUUGAUUCAAUAUGUUGUUAUCUUUGUAAAUGUUCGUUGAUGUGCAGAUCAACUUGAUGUACAUAAAUAUUUCUGAAUUAUUACUGAUAUUCGAAUAGCAAUGCAAAGUUUGAAAGAUCGGAAUAAAUCGGAUUUGAAAACGCCUAACGAUACUCAACUUCACUAGGGGCUAAAUUUGAAAGGUUGAAAAUUAGUAUUUUUGGAGGGUAAAAUGAUAUUAUAACUAAAAUAUUAAUUGUAGUUCAGGAAAUACUAUUGUGAGUGAAAUUUAUAAAUAUGACAAUUUUAAUAUUGUUGUUUGAAAAUUUGAGGAAUUUUCAAAAUUACAAAAGAGUAGUGAAAAAUAAUUUUUGAUACACAAUUACGCAAAAAUUUAUAUAAUUUUAAGCCUCAUUAUCCUUCUUUAUCAAUCAUUAUCUUUUUAUCCCACCUACUCCAACCAAUCAUUAUCCUUCUUUAUCAAUCAUUAUCUUCUUAUCCCACCUACUCCAACCCCACCUACUCCAACCAAUCAUUAUCCUUCUUUAUCAAUCAUUAUCUUCUUAUCCCACCUACUCCAACCAAUCAUUAUCCUUCUUUAUCAAUCAUUAUCUUCUUAUCCCACCUACUCCAACCAAACACUAUUUUUCAUUAUUCUAGACUAACUCCAACCUCCAACCAAACACAAAAAAACUUUAACCCCACUUUAACCCUGAACUUAACCCUAUACCUGGAAUAGCUACUUUUUUCUUAACCCCGAACCAAACGGAGGCUCAGGAAUUAGCCACUCCUUA
rnacentral:lncRNA from 1 species